CGUUCUCUGCCGUGUCCGACAGCGUGCAAAACAUUCGCCUUGUCCCUUAAGAACGACACCGGGGAUGCAGGAAAACCGGGAGUGCAUAUCCGCCCUCGAGCGGAAAGCCCAAAGGAAUUCCGGCGUUCCCACUUGAACCCCGGGUUCAAGGUCGUUUCGCGUGCAUCGACAUGUGCGGAGAACGU
rnacentral:other from 2 species